rnacentral:rRNA from 1 species
GAUGAACGCUAGCGGCAGGCUUAACACAUGCAAGUCGAGGGGUAUAGGUUUUCGGACCUAGAGACCGGCGCACGGGUGCGUAACGCGUAUGCAAUCUACCUUUUACAGAGGGAUAGCCCAGAGAAAUUUGGAUUAAUACCUCAUAGUAUAAUGAUUCGGCAUCGAGACAUUAUUAAAGUUCCAACGGUAAAAGAUGGGCAUGCGUCCCAUUAGCUAGAUGGUAAGGUAACGGCUUACCAUGGCGACGAUGGGUAGGGGUCCUGAGAGGGAGAUCCCCCACACUGGUACUGAGACACGGACCAGACUCCUACGGGAGGCAGCAGUGAGGAAUAUUGGUCAAUGGGCGCAAGCCUGAACCAGCCAUGCCGCGUGCAGGAUGACGGUCCUAUGGAUUGUAAACUGCUUUUGUACAGGAAGAAACACUGGUUCGUGAACCAGCUUGACGGUACUGUAAGAAUAGGGAUCGGCUAACUCCGUGCCAGCCGCCGCAGUAA